rnacentral:rRNA from 1 species
AGCGAACGCUGGCGGCAGGCCUAACACAUGCAAGUCGAACGGAUCCUUCGGGAUUAGUGGCGGACGGGUGAGUAACACGUGGGAACGUGCCCUUUGGUUCGGAACAACUCAGGGAAACUUGAGCUAGUACCGGAUGUGCCCUUCGGGGGAAAGAUUUAUCGCCAUUGGAGCGGCCCGCGUCUGAUUAGCUAGUUGGUGAGGUAAAGGCUCACCAAGGCGACGAUCAGUAGCUGGUCUGAGAGGAUGAUCAGCCACAUUGGGACUGAGACACGGCCCAAACUCAUACGGGAGGCAGCAGUGGGGAAUCUUGCGCAAUGGGCGAAAGCCUGACGCAGCCAUGCCGCGUGAAUGAUGAAGGUCUUAGGAUUGUAAAAUUCUUUCACCGGGGACGAUAAUGACGGUACCCGGAGAAGAAGCCCCGGCUAACUUCGUGCCAGCAGCAGCCGCCGUAA